CCUACGGGUGGCUGCAGUGGGGAAUCUUGCACAAUGGGGGCAACCCUGAUGCAGCGACGCCGCGUGGGUGACGACGCCCUUCGGGGUGUAAAGCCCUUUCGUCGGGGACGAUAAUGACGGUACCCGGAGAAGAAGCUGCGGCUAACUACGUGCCAGCAGCCGCGGUAAUACGUAGGCAGCAAGCGUUGUUCGGAGUUACUGGGCGUAAAGAGUGCGUAGGCGGCGGCUCAAGUCUGGUGUGAAAUCUCCCUGGCUCAACCGGGAGGGGGCGCCGG
rnacentral:rRNA from 1 species